GGCUGCGGCAGGCGCUGGUGCGCGCAAGGGUAGGGAAGGUCCCACGGGCGACAAGGCGCUCCAUCGUGGAUGUGCUGUGGAGGUCUGGUGGGUUCCGGGACACCCCAGUGAUGGCAUGCCGUGACAACAUGCAGAUGUGGGCCUGGAGGGGUCUUCUGAGUCCCGGGAAGGAGGGCUGAAGUUAGGGGAGCAACCUGCUUGGGACUAGGUGUCAACCCAGGUGAGGGCUGCUCUUUUGGUGGGGCCAGAGGCAACGAUUUACUGUGGAUUUCUUUAUUUCUCUCUGUAUGCUACAUUCCAAACAGCCCACAACAAGCACCAGUGUCACAACUUUUAUCUUCAGGAAAAUAAAGAGAAGCUGAAGGAGGCUCCCCAGGCACCGUGAACCCCUCUAGCAGGGCUGGUUUCCACUCGGGCUCCCUACUUCCAUCUUUCCACUUGGCCAGCAGCGUAAUUACGGAGUCAAAGCUGGUGCCCCGGGGACUCCCCCUCUCUUGGCCUCAUUAGAGCCUGGGAGGUGACUUUCUGGAAGUCUGUGGCUCCGAACGCAAACCAGGAUGGUACCAAGUAGCUGAUUAAACCUGCUGGUCCCAGGAGCGGGGCCGAGGCCCCUACCCAGAGCCAGGAACACACCUGGAGGAAGGCACCCCCGAGCUGGGGCCUGGGAGCCCGAGGCCCAGGCACUGGGAGGAGGAAGGAGCCCCGUCCUCCUUCCCAAGGGACCUGGGAGCAAGCAAACAUCUGUCUCGGGGACAAGAGCCGAGCUCUAAUUUUGUAAUUAAAAAUAUAUCCAAAGGAAACAAAGGGAACAGUAUCUGUACUCUGCGUUGUAACUGGGGAGGGGGUGCGGGUCCCACCACCCAGGGUGGGCUGUGCUCAGCCACCACGACGGGCUCCCUGGGCUUCUCUAGUGCCCGAAUCCUGCAUGCAGGGGGCGGGGGCCCUCCUGCCUGGGCCCUGCUGAGCCCUGUGCAUGUCUAUGUCCCGUCUGUCUCCCGUCAGCCCUGCCCCCUCCCGUGAAGCCACAGAGGAAGGCCGGGUGUCCACCCAGCCUCCGCUCCCUCGAGCACCCAGAAAGGCCGCACGUCCCAGCCCCUUUGCAUUCAGGUGGCCUUAGGACUAGUUUUGGCCGGGAAGGUUGUCAGCCGCGCACGGGCCGUGCACACAACUUCCCGCGGGCCCAGGCCGACGGCGGUCCUUCUGCGCCCUCUGUUGGCCAGAUGGAGGAUGGGACAGGGCCGCAGGACGCCCAGUGACCACGCGGAGGGACCGCCAGCCCCACCAGCACCCUCUGCACGCCCACGCUGCCUGUGUUGGGACUACGGAAGGGAAACUUUAUUGCAUCUUAACCCGCCAAAGACGUGUGGUUGUCUGUUACAGUGGCCAGCAUUACAUACUCUAACAUAUAUGGCUGGCAUGGGUGGAUUUCAGUUGGCAUUUUACAGAUGAGGAAACAGAGGGUUGGGAAGAUUAAAAACUCGCUCCUGCUCACAAGUGCUCAAGGCAGGAUUCCCCCGAAUAGUCUGACUCCUCAGCCCAGUCCCCAGGCCUAACCACUGCGCUCCCAUGCCAGGAGCACAACCCGGGGCCUAACUCUGCUCUAAGGCUGGGAACACACCCAGAAGCAAGAGCAGAUUCAGCCGCAGCCUUCUCAGGGCUGAGCUCCUGGGGGGAGGCUGGGUAGUUAAAGCAGCUCAGUUCCCCACCAGACAGUCCUCACGGUGCCCCCCACGGUUGGGCAGUCGGCGUCGCGGGCCCAUUUUACAGGUGAGGAGACUGAGGCUUUCAGGCAAACCCGCUGGCCAGUGAGCAGCAAGAGCCGGAGUAGGUCCAGGAAGUCCUGCCCUUGGCCACGUGCUGCCUCCUAGUAGCUGGCCUCCCCUCUGGUGCCUCACCUGCCCCCACCAAGCCCCCUCCUCCUGGAUGUGGGGCCUGCACAGCGGCUUCUCUGGCAGGGUCACAGACCCCGUUGGGAACAUGUGCCAUGGGUGGUUUCUUGGAGACAAGGAUGGCUGUCCUGGGUCAGGCCCACCUCUUGACCGAGAGCCCCUGGGAACACAGUCUGGGACUUGGGGCGCCUGGCCUGGGGCAGGGACAAGGCUGAGCCAAUGGCCCUUCCCAGGGGGGGACCCCAGAUGGGCCUGGGGCUCCUUGCUCCCCUCUGGCCCUCGGUCAAACCUGCCUCCUGCCAGUCCCCGGGGUUCUGGGGCCCUGAGCUGUCUUUUCACAUAUAUUAAGGCCUGGAAGAAUUUUCCAUUGAGCCAUGGGCCACAUGUCACCCAUCAAUCACAGAAGGCUGGGGAAUGCCGGCCCCAGGUCAGGGUGGAGGGGGAAGGGGGCCGCGUGCCACAUGCAGCUGCUUCCGGAGCCCCCUGGGGCACCUGAGUGCCCAGGCCACGCCCGGCACCGUGGCCUGAGGCCGGCCACGUGACCUCCCGCGGUGCUCCUCGGGUCCCUGCUAGGGGUGACUGUGUCUGUCCCCCUCCAGGGGCCUCCCCAACUGGUACCCAGGAGGGAUGUGACAAACAAUGGCGACGCUAGCUGUCCCCAUCUUGUUCCCUGCCUUGCCCCAGGGCUGGGCUCACAGGGAGUUGAUUUUCUGCCCAUUUUACUGAGCCUGAGACCCCCAAGACUUGAGGCUCGGCCUCUCCACAGACUCUGAGAGGACAAGGACAUGAAAGCAGGAGCAGGAAGAAGGGGGGGCCCCAGCAUGCCUCCCCGGACAUCCCCCCAAGCCCUGGUGGAGCCAGGGGUGUGCAUCUGUGCGGGCUCCGGACCUGACCAGGGGUGCACUCGGACCAGCCCUGGGCAGGGCCUUGCCCAGCUCUGUCCCCAAGCGUCCACCUUCUCCUCCAUAAAGUGGGGUGGGGGUCUGACCGGGGGCCCAGGGGGACCGGGAGUUACAGAUUAACAGGCCAACCCCAGCAGCAGGCAGCCGCGCACGCUGGGGCCCAGGCCUGGCGCAGGCCCGCUCCUGCCGCACCAGUUCCAGGGCUCGCCCCGCCCCCAGGACGGGCUGUUCCCGGGCGGCUGCCAGGCACGUCCUCGUCCUCCGCAGGUGCCGGCCUCCCUCCUGUGACGCGGCCACACGCAGCACGGGCUCCGAUUACAGGGACUGCCUUGUGCUUGGGGUCCCGGGCCGGGGGUCCGCACUCCCCAGGAAUGGGUGGGAGGGGCUGGGCAGGCCCUGCGGGGCGGGCCGGUGGCAACGGAGAACACAGCGCGGCCCCCGGCCAGCCCCCACCGCCCGUCUCCCCCCAGCCUGCCUGGGACCUUGCUGGUUUCCACACAGAACGUCCCAGGAAACCCACGACCGCUGGUCGUCCUAGGCUACAGUCGGCCCCUCUCAGGGACCCCCCCCCCCGGGCUGGGGGCAGGUGCGGAGGAGGACCUGGAGGCACUUGGGGGCCUGAGUCAGACGCCCUGUGGCCGGCUCUGAGCCACCAGGCCUGCCCUCCUCCCCACCCGCAGGACACGGACUGCAGGGCCUGGCGGCUCCCUUUACCAGGGAAACAGCAAGAAAAACAAACCUGGUGUGCGCAGACCCCCUCCCCACCGGGCCCCCCAGCUUCCUGUCAGGCCAGCGGGGACUGCUGGGAGUGUCCUGCCCACGGGCUGCACCAGGGACCCCAGGUCUUUCCACACGGCCCAUGCCUCAGUGUUCAGAGAAGCCCAGGGCCCCCCGAAAUGCCGGAACAGAAUGGGGGUGCCUGCACCCCGCCACCCCUCCUGCAGUUGGGAGGCUCCAGGCAGAAGCCCCAGCCCCAGGCCUGCGCCCACUGGGACCUCAGAGGUGAAGGGGCUUCCUUGGCCUGGGGACAGACUUUAUCUUAGACACUGGCUGAGCACCUACUACCCACGGCGUGACGGUGUCACAAUCCUGUGCAGGAAACUGAGGCCCAGAGGGGCUGGGCGACCUGCCCUCAGUCCCACAGCACGCAGGAGACGGCCAGGCCGAGCCCUGGGCUGGGGUCCUGCCUCCACGUCCCACCUCCUCCCAGCUGGGCUUCUGAGGUGAGGCCAGCCGCUAACACUGGCCGCGCCCUGGCCAGCUCCCAGGACCCGGGGACAGGCUUCCACCCGGCCGCUCCUCCGGGUCGCCCUGCAGGCCAAGGGCGGCUCCAAGGAGGUGCUGGGCAGGCGGGGUGCCUGGCCCCUGGUCCCCGGCAGGGGCAGCAGGACCCAUGGGCGAGCUGGCGGCCCCGAGGACCAAAGCCAGGCGCCUGCUGCCCCCUGGUGUCCGCAAACGGCAUGGCAGCCGGGAGCGCUGCACAUCCCGCCUGGCGGGGACACUGAGCAGCCCGCAGCCCUGCUGCCUCCCGCCCACCUCACCCCUGCCGCGCAGCUGCAGGUGACGUGAGUGAGGACCUUAAUCCCUGUCACCUGCACACCCCUCAAGCCUGAGACGGGGGUUCUGCCCACUGUGGCCAGUCAGGCCCCUGAAAGGCCAAAAAGUUCAUUUUCAAAAACACCCCGAGCCCCUAGGUGCUCUGGGCGCUGCCACUCACACCCUAGUGGGAAAUAGCACGUUGGCCUCUCCCACCUGCAGGGGCGGAAGGAGGGACAGAGCCUGCCCUAAAGACCCGGGGUGGGCGGCCGCCUGCUCCU